GUGCCGCCUGUGCUGGCCGGAGCCAGCGUGGCGAUCAGAUGUCUGGGUGUGCCUGGCACGACCCCACCUCACUGCUCCCCUGAGCUGUCUUUCCCCUGCAGAGGGGCCAAGGAGCACCCCUGGGAGGCCUUCCAUGUUUCAGGGAGAGAAUCAUGAAGAAACAGAAUAAAGGACUUUGUUGCAAGCUGCAGUCAUAAAGAAGGACAUGUGGGUGAGGCUGGGAGCCCGGGGAGCCUGGUGUCAGCUCCAAUCCGAGCAUCGGGGCCAGCAGGAAGACCCGGCCUCUGCUCUGCACCAGUCCCGGCACUGCCUGCGGCAUCUGAUUCUGCCAGUGCUGCCCACUUAGCUUUUGGGUUUCCUCUGUCAGCCCGGAGGAGGGCAAUCACGACGCAAUUUCUUACAAUAAUGAUACCUCACAUUGCAUAAUCGUUCACGUCCUUCAAAAUAUUGAAAAUCGUAGCACAGAAAGUUUGAAGGGUUCCACAGCAACUCAGCACCACGAAGUCAGCCACGGCCCCACACGUCGACGGCUCAGUUGGGUGACGUGGCCGGCCCCGGGGACUCCUCUUUCUGCUGACGUUCAUCCACAUCCACAUCCAGAGCUUCUCGGUGUCCAGGAGAUGCUGACAGCUCCUGGCCCCAGGAUGGGUGUGAGGCUGUGGCCCCGGGGUGAAAAGCUACAUCUCCCACGGCAGAUAGCCACCAUCACGGCUGUUAGAUGCCUGCGGACCGGACGAUGCAUCUAAAGGAAAACGGACCCAGGCGGGAAGACCAGCGGCCGCCCGAGUGUUGGCAGAAGCAGGCCCGUUGCUGAAUCGUGAUGUUUGUAGAAAUCGCUGUUUUAGCCACUGUUGGCUCCUCUCAAACUCCUGACCGACCCCAAGAGCUGCCGGGAAGCCCCUUCCCCUGUGACUCCUCAGGGACACGGGCUCCGGCUGCAGCCUCAAGUGACCCCUUUGCAGGAGUCCAAGAAAAGAGAAGCUGCUUCUGUGGAUUUCUGUCCUAGAUGAAGCCACAGCGGCAGGAAGUGGUAGCUGGCUGCUCCCAGGGUCUGUUUCGCUGGGACAAGAGGUCUCAAAGCUGUCCCUGGGAAGGAGCUUAGGCGGUGCUGAGCUGAUGUUCAGGGGGGCGGAGGGAGAGACAGGGAAAAAGCUUAGGCAGUGCUGAGCUGAUU
rnacentral:lncRNA from 1 species